UUAGGUAAUAAUAAUAGUAAUAAUAAUAAUAAUUAAUAAUUAAUAAAUAAUAAUAAUAACGUUGUCGUCUAAUGCGUGUUCGGGGCGAAGGUAUAAGCGCCGGACAAGUACAAUAAUUAUAUAA